UAACCUCUGGCGAUAUACGUGAAUGUUG
rfam:Lacinutrix sp. 5H-3-7-4, complete genome.